GAUGAACGCUGGCGGCGUGCCUAAUACAUGCAAGUCGAGCGAACAGACGAGGAGCUUGCUCCUCUGACGUUAGCGGCGGACGGGUGAGUAACACGUGGAUAACCUACCUAUAAGACUGGGAUAACUUCGGGAAACCGGAGCUAAUACCGGAUAAUAUAUUGAACCGCAUGGUUCAAUAGUGAAAGACGGUUUUGCUGUCACUUAUAGAUGGAUCCGCGCCGCAUUAGCUAGUUGGUAAGGUAACGGCUUACCAAGGCAACGAUGCGUAGCCGACCUGAGAGGGUGAUCGGCCACACUGGAACUGAGACACGGUCCAGACUCCUACGGGAGGCAGCAGUAGGGAAUCUUCCGCAAUGGGCGAAAGCCUGACGGAGCAACGCCGCGUGAGUGAUGAAGGUCUUCGGAUCUUAAAACUCUGUUAUUAGGGAAGAACAAAUGUGUAAGUAACUAUGCACGUCUUGACGGUACCUAAUCAGAAAGCCACGGCUAACUACGUG
rnacentral:rRNA from 1 species